UCUUCUCUUGCCCCGGGACUUCAGCACUCCUGGUUCUUGGGUGUUCAGACUCAGACCGAAUUAUACCGCUGGCUUUCUUGAUUCUCCAGCGUGCAGAUGGGAAAUCAUGGGACUUCUUGGCCUCCAUAACUGUGAAAAAUCCCAAGAGGAAUGCCGACAUCAUUGAAGAAAAUCAUCACAAUUCUAAGACCGAAGUUCCAACAUGAAUUCAUCCUGUGACAUGGCUGCCAAUGAAAACCAUAUAACAACAAUGAUGAUAUUGUUUAUUGUUGUUGACAAAUUUGAUUUUGUUGUUCUAAUGUGCAUCAGAACACUUGGAUAAAUUGUCGCAUGUC